GUGUCGCAAGGCAUCGCUUAGUAUUUUAUUGCUUUUAGAUGUAGUAAUUGGGUAAAACUGGUUAUGAAACCUAAGGGAUCACAGUAAAGUAUUAAGUGGGGUUCCAGUUCAUUUACUUUGAGUAAAUUAGAGUGUUCAAAGCAGCCUGUAUGGGCACUGAAUACAUUAGCAUGGGGAUAAUAAAAUAGGAUCUUCACAAUAUAUUUUAUUGGUUUAAAUUGGAUAUGAAGAUAAUGAUUAAUAGGGACAGUUGGGGGUAGUUCAUAUUGGGUGGUUAGCGGUGAAAUGCUCGGAUCCAUUCAAGAUGAACUAAAGCGAAAGCAUUUUACCAAGGAUGUUUUCAUUAAUCAAGAACGAAAGUUAAGGGGAUCGAAGACGAUUAGAUACCGUCGUAGUCUUAACUAUAAACUAUGCCGACCAGGGGAUAUGAGUUGUUAGGAAUAUAUGAAAAUAUAUUCAAUUUCUUCUUAUGGACCUUGUGAGAAAUCAUAAG
rnacentral:rRNA from 1 species